UAAUAAAAAGAGAUGACAACGGAAUACAUGAUUAUCUUAUGAACUUCAUUAGUCUACAGCUGUUUCUACUGUAAGAUGCAGUGGACUUGUAGUUGGAUACCCCCUUUG